UCCUUCUCUCUCACUCGUUGAUAGCAAGUCAAGAAUCCAUGCUCUCUCUCUCUCUCACACCUUUCUCCAUAACUAUCGUUUCAUUGAUUCAGGUGGUGGCGCCACCUACCGGGAAAAUUUUCUGGCGGAGAAGAAAGCAACUAUCUGUAUUAGUUGUAUCGUUUCUCUCUUUUUCCUCUAGUAGAAUCCCAAUCGGAGAAGAAAUCAACGUCCACUCACUGCCUUUCGAUCUCUUGUGUUUGUCUCCUGCCUAUUUGGAAUGCACAACAUCCACUCAUCCAUAAUUUCGUCAAGAUGUGGACUUAAUAAACCUCUCACACAUCUCUUUCUCAUUGAUUAUCUCCAAUUUCCCUUACAUCGUCACUGUAGAAAAGCCCUAGAACACAUAUGGCAGUUGGAACUAUGUCGUAUCUUCUCGAAACUUGGAGAGGUAAGGAGAAGGAGAUUUCUCCACCAUAUCCUCCUUCACAUAUGGCGAAGAGCUCAAUUGUACUCAUUCUGGUAAUAAGGUUCUGAUUUGCGGCGACUUCCAAUCCACGAUACCUAAUUUCUAAAUCGUCAACAGAUAAUCGACGAAUCUACAAAUCGACACCAUUCCGCUGAUUAACAAAUCUAAUCUAUUCUGAAAUAUCCAUUGCCAGCUAUGAAGCUAUUGCUCAUGUUUCCAUAUGAUUUUCCGAUCAAAUAAACAACGACGACUACCAUGUCCAUCGCGAAUCAGUUACUGUCAAUUUCAACAAAAAUCAAUAUAGAAGGCUGAUUCUGCUCAGAAAGCAGCACUAGUUGCUGCUGCAACCAUGGUGUGUGUUCAGUGCGUGGCUUUGUCUAUAUAUUUGUUUGUUUUGUAUGUUGUUCCAAGAUGGUGAUUCUUCUUGCGUCUUGUUUUUUUUUUGUGUGUACAGAAGGCUGAUUCAGAUAAUGAAAGCUUAGAAGAAGAGAGUUCACCUAAUGAUGAGAAACCUCAAAAGGAAAACAAUAAGCCAACUAGGAAAUAUUUUCACACUAGCUAUUUGAUCAAAUGUCAAACAGGGAUUUAUACAUGUAAAUCACAUGUGAUUUACAUGUAAAUCACAUAUGGUUCACAUACGAAUCACAUGUGAUUCACAUAUUAAUCACAUUUGAUUCACAUGUAAAUUACAUGUGAUUCACAUAUAAAUCACAUGUGAUUCACAUAUGAAUCACAUGUGAUUCACUUAAUAAUCAUAUUUGAUUCACAUGCAAAUCAUUUGUGAUUCACAUGUAAAUCACACGUGAUUUACAUGUGAAUCACAUGUGAUUCACAUAUGAAUAACACGUGAUUCACAUAUUAAUCAUAUUUGAUUCACAUGGAAAUCACAUGUGAUUCACAUGUAAAUCACAUGUGAUUUACAUGUAAAUCACAUGUGAUUUACAUAUGAAUCACUGUGAUUCAUAUGAAAAUCAAAUGUAAUUCACAUAUGAUAUCAUAUGUAAAUGUGAUUCAUAUAUUAAUCACAUGUAAAUCACAUAUGCAUUUUUGUGAGUGUUUUUGCAUCAAUCCUUUUUUUUUUUAACUUUCUUGUAGAUCUGGAAGAAAUUGUGGUGAAUAUUAAAGAGGCGAAAAAUGAUAAAUUGAAGAAAAUAUUGGAAUAUUGACAUGAAGACAUAAAAACGCUUUGAAAUUGUUUUUUAUAUUUUAUUUUGUAUCGAAUAAAAUACUUAUUCUAUCGUGUUUAUAGAUUAGUAAAAAAAUGAGUUUUCUUA